rnacentral:rRNA from 1 species
UGGGGAAUAUUGCACAAUGGAGGGAACUCUGAUGCAGCGACGCCGCGUGAACGAAGAAGGCUUUCGAGUCGUAAAGCUCUUUUAUAUGGGAAGAUAAUGACGGUACCAUAAGAAAAAGCCCCGGCUAACUACGUGCCAGCAGCCGCGGUAAUACGUAGGGGGCUAGCGUUGUCCGGAAUCACUGGGCGUAAAGGGUUCGCAGGCGGAAAUGCAAGUCAGGUGUAAAAGGCAGUAGCUUAACUACUGUAAGCAUUUGAAACUGCAUAUCUUGAGAAGAGUAGAGGUAAGUGGAAUUUUUAGUGUAGCGGUGAAAUGCGUAGAUAUUAAAAAGAAUACCGGGGGCGAAGGCGACUUACUGGGCUCAUUCUGACGCUGAGGAACGAAAGCGUGGGUAGCAAACAGG